UACGGAGGAUGCGAGCGUUAUCCGGAUUUAUUGGGUUUAAAGGGUGCGCAGGCGGACGCUUAAGUCAGCGGUAAAAUUGCGGGGCUCAACCUCGUCGAGCCGUUGAAACUGGGUGCCUUGAGUGGGCGAGAAGUACGCGGAAUGCGUGGUGUAGCGGUGAAAUGCAUAGAUAUCACGCAGAACUCCGAUUGCGAAGGCAGCGUACCGGCGCCCUACUGACGCUGAAGCACGAAGGCGUGGGUAUCGAACAGG
rnacentral:rRNA from 1 species